UGGGGAAUAUUGCGCAAUGGGCGAAAGCCUGACGCAGCGACGCCGCGUGAGGGAAGAAGGGUUUCGGAUCGUAAACCUCUGUUAGAAGGGAAGAAACCGCACUGUGCUAAUCAGCAGUGCCUUGACGGUACCUUCAAAGGAAGCACCGGCUAACUCCGUGCCAGCAGCCGCGGUAAUACGGAGGGUGCAAGCGUUAAUCGGAAUUACUGGGCGUAAAGCGCACGUAGGCUGCUUUGUAAGUCAGGGGUGAAAUCCCACGGCUCAACCGGGGAACUGCCUGUGAUACUGCUUAGCUUGAAUCCGGGAGAGGGUGGCGGAAUUCCAGGUGUAGGGGUGAAAUCCGUAGAUAUCUGGAGGAACAUCAGUGGCGAAGGCGGCCACCUGGACCGGUAUUGACGCUGAGGUGCGAAAGCGUGGGGAGCAAACAGG
rnacentral:rRNA from 1 species